rnacentral:lncRNA from 1 species
UUUAGUUAAAUGUAGUGCUUCAAAAAUAAAACUAGGCAGCAAGAACUUUGGUUCCUUCAUUUUCAUGAGAUGUAAAAAAAUUUGAGGCAACCUUUUAUCUUUGAAAAUUAUUCAUAGAACCAAUACAACAUCAAAUGGAUAUAUCAUAAAUGUUAGUUGGUAAGUUAUGGAAGAAGAGUUCAUCUUUCUCAAAGACGAUAUACGGGUUUUGCACACCACUUCGUUCUCGUUAUUACGUUUUGGCGUGUUGGUUAAUCCGGACUUUCUUCGAUGUUAAGUAAGAUGAAAUAAUAGUAUUUCUUGGAAAAUAAGGUAAGAUUUUUCUUGUCCUUGAUAUAUUUAAAUUUGUCUAGGUCAUUGCUAAAUUGUGGGAUGAGAAUGAUGGAGUUAAUAACGGAAAAUCGUAUUUUGAUGUUGUUGUUGUUAUUGUAUUAACUGUUUGGUAAUUUUCUAAGUUGUAUUGUGGCUGGAAAUUUGGAGUAAAUUAAGUAUAUAGUUGGUGUAGUCAUUGAUUUGUGUUUUGAAGGAGAGAAAAGAUUGGAUGAGUAUGAUUGAUAAUCGUAGCCGAGCUUGACGCUCAUAGGUUGGGUUGUAAACUGGUUGUGAGAGUUGCUGCUUGUGUUGUGUGCCACCUCACCUAUUCUAGGCUUGAGGGAAUGAUAAUAAUAGGGGAAAUAAUUUCCAUUUUAUUUUUGGAUAGGUUAUCUUCCAUUAUGCGAUUAAGAGGAUUGUUCGUACGAUUGACAAUCGUAUUAUUCUUGUUAUCGUAUGGAACGUGAAGCAGAUUCGAGUUUAGCUCUUGAGCUAGUGGGUUCCAGGUAUGUUAAGGCUACCCCUUCUUUCCUUUUGGUGUGAUCCAUAUGUUACAAACGAAAUGAGCAAAUGCACAACUUUCAUAAAUUUUGAUCACAUACUUCCUGCACUAGUAAACUUUGAUGUGUGAUACCCAGCCUAACACACUUUGGAUGAUAUUUGAAGUUUUUGUUAUCAUUCAUACCAUUCAGUCUUCUACUUAGGUACUCCAUGACUAUAGCAAAUAGGAAAGGGGACAAAGGAUCCCCUUAUCUAAGUCCCAUUUUUGCAUCAAAUGGAAUGGUGGUUUCCCCAUUGAUAAGUAUGGCAUAGUUGACUGUCUUGAUACAUUCAAGAAUCCAGCCAUGAAAUUAUGUAGGGAAUCCCAAAUUAUCCAUUACAUGUUUCAAUAAGAUCCACUCCACUGAGUCAUAGGGCUUUUGUAGAUCAAUAGUAAUUAUACACUUGUCAGAAGUAUGUUUUUUUGUAUAAGACUUGACCAAUUC